GUUAUAUAUAUCAUGGAAGUAUUAUAUUGACAGGAACUACAACGAUUUAUUAGCACUUAUUUAUAACCCGGGGAGCUCUGUAGAAAAGAUAUGGAAACUGACUAAUUAGUAUGUUAUCGUUAAUAGCCCUUUGUGACCAUGUGCGAUGCCGCCGUCCUAAACUGACCAGACAUACUUCUUAUCAUCACGUGGUUUUUAUUGCGAAAGGUUAUCUCUAAUACCUGUCGGAAAACCCCUUUGUUUAUUUCAAUCUCGUCUGUGGUCUUUCAGAAUUAUUCAAUUUUUCAAAACAAAUCGACUGAUGUACAAAACAAGAAAAUCGGACGAGAACUUUGAAUACUACAACGUUUUGAAGUGGUGAGUGACAAUAUUUCAUUAGUUUGUGGGUUAAGUUUAAAUCGUAAUUAAGGUGUGUUCCGGUUACCGCCGGUUAAAAAUAAAUAUAUUUGAUAAAAAUAAAUACUGUGAAGUUUCGAGUAGUCUAUAUAGUUAAGGUACUGGAUAAUCCUGGAAAGUAGAAAUUUCCAGUUUAAAAUACGAAAAUUAAUCGAACAAGUACCAACAUCAACAAAAUACAGCAGAAGAAAACAGAGAUCUCACUUCGUUGUGUAGCUAUUUAUAUAAUGUUGGUUAAUAUCUUUUUAAUUGUGAAUAUAAAAACUUCAUGUCUACCCGCAAUUGAAAGACCUUUCCGAUCAUAUAAAGCCAUGGUCAGUAUUUUAUCAUUUGAACAUGUAUGACUAUGCCAAUAUAUAUACUAGCCAAGAUUUAAAAAAAAAGUCUUAUGACCCGAGUAUUGUUUUCUCACAAGGACAAAUCUUAAAGUUAUCAACUUCUACUGUAAAUCUUAUACUUUAUAUAUGCACUUAAAAAAACAAGGUUUAAUGUCUAUAUCAAAAACGUAAACUGAAACUGUUUUACAGUGCACUUAACAUAUACAUGUCCAUGAAAUCAGAAUUCAGUGAUGUAUAUUUGGCAGUCAGGAUAUUUCAUAUAUAAUUAUAUACGUAAAGCCUUAUUUAACAUGGUGUUAUACCAACCCUGGAUUUGGAGUAAGUCUUAUAAUUGCUCUAUAAUCAAAUUGUCUUUUUUUAAAUCUUGAUUAAAUCGGCUCAAUUUUCAAUAUGUACAGUCCCGAAUAUGAAUGAAAUACAUGCCACUGGACGUAAGACAAACAACUUUCAAUCACAACUUAUGAUGUGCUUUUUCUACCCUUCAACCCUUUAAAACAAAUCCAAUAUAGUCUUUUUUUGUCAACAGAUAUGGUAAAUAAUGGACCCAGACUAUAACUGUCGUUUAUGUGGAACUACAGAAAAGAGAACUGCUCACCACCUACCA
rnacentral:lncRNA from 1 species